CAGGGUGUGGCGCAGAGGCUAGCGCGCUGUUCUGGGGGGACAGAGGCCGCGGGUUCAAGUCCCGCCACCCUGA
rnacentral:tRNA from 1 species